CCCCUUAUUUCUUUUUUGAUUUUGUUCUUUCAUUUGCCAUGAAUGAACUCACUUGCCCAAGUUGCCUACUCUGUUAUAUCGCUCUGCUUCUAUUGGUUUUUCUGCAUUUAUCCCGUUUGUUCUGAUUAUACGUUGGUUUGGUUACUUUUUAUUGUUGCUAUUAAUGUUCUGCUCAUUUUGGUGAGUUCUCUUUGAAUAUUUCCCCUCUUUCUUGGUUUUGUUAAAACAAUUACACCCAUAUGCAUCUAUACUUUGAUUUCUGAAUUUGCUCUGCUGUGAGCUUUAUUCUGCUCAACUAUGGUGAAUUUUUUGGGUGUUGUACUAACUUGUGCUGUACGAACAAGGCAAUGAAUGGUUGUACAAAAAGCAACAGGAAUGGUACUAUAUUCUUGGACUUAUUUAAUUGAAAUUGAUAGUUGAACCUUUGUCUUUUUUUCCAUGGACACGUGUUCUGCAAUGGUACUACAUUCUUGAACGCGUGUACACACUUUAGUUCAUUUUUCCCACUCUCUUCCAUUACUGCCUUCAAAGAGCAAGCAGGAGCCCCAACAAACAAACAAAAUCUCUCGGCUUCUUGAUUCAUAUCCCUUGGACAAAACUACUCUUUUUUAUAUUUUCAUUGAUUCAGCCUCGAUUUGAUGUUUAAUGUUUUCCUUUUGUUUGCAGAGAGUCCUUUUAUGACAGAAAUUGAGAAUGUCCUGUGAGUAUUAUGAAUCUUUGGCUGGAGUGUGCUGGUUUCUCUUACAUUUUGUUGUGAUUGUUGUUUGUUUCUUCUUUUCUUUGUUUGUUUAAUGCAUUCACUUAUUGGUAAUGGGAUUUGGUGGAUACUUGAUAGUUUUCUGUUCUUUUGGACAUUUCGUUUUUUGGAUUUUCUAGAUGCAUGUUUGUAUAUGUAUUUGAUUUUCACACUUAUGCUGCAAAGGUGCUUGAUAAUAUGCCUAAAAUAACUAAAGUAUUGAAGCUAUACAACUUGAAGCUAAUUAUUUCACUCGCCGAAGAUAAGCUUUGCCUCUCAUAACCGCUAUUUAUACCUUGCUUUUCUUGCGUGCGUAACCCCAUAAAACUUUUGAAUUUCAGAAUUCUAAAUCAAGGGAUGAAAAGCUAAUAUGGUCUUAGCAGGAAAGCUCAUUACAGUUCUAUGAGUGUACUAUAAUAUGUUAUCUUUGUUGUCUUAUAAAAAGGGCGUUGAAAAUCGGUUUGAGAAAUGUCAAGCUAUAUUAGCUGAGCUAUGAAAUUGUAUAUAUUGCUUGAUAAUUAUUAAUAUAGAAAGUCUUACUUGCCAAAAAAAGAAGAAGAAGAAAAUUGGGCUUUAUAAUUUGUAACCUUUUUGUCUUUCUUUGAGCCCCACUUGUGGGAUUACAUUGGGUAUGUUGUUGUUGCUGUAGGAAGCAAGUGAUUGAUUGUGGUCAAAAGACAUGUCCAGAUAUUAGUAUCAUGUCCACUUAAUGUGUGAUGCUCUGGUGUUGGAGGAACAGUUAUGCUAAACAUGUUUUCUUCCAACUGGAAACAUGCCAAACUGCGCAAUUGUUACAUAUACCUGAUGAUCUUAUGGAGCAUUUACACAUUUGGACCUGCAAAGCUCCUCUGUUUUCAAAUAUCUAGGAAGCUCUUGAAAUCAUGAAGAGUGAUGUUAUAGCUGGUAUGAAGCGAUCCAGUUAUUAGAAUAGGUUUCAUUCGAUGGGAAAUGCCAAAAGGAGUACAAUGUGUUGGUUUUCUUUGAAUGAUCCAUGAAGAAGUAAUUGCUCAUUUUACCAUAAAUUGUGAAUGACCAGAGUCUUAACUUACAUUAUAUUUUGCUGGUGUCAUCUUAUGUAUAUGCCCUUUCAUUAUUUAUUUUCACUGGAAAUUCGAAUACAAAGAAUAUUGUUAGUACUAUGCUUUAUUGUUUUCCUAUAGUAUGGUCUGCUAUUUGCUUUCAGGUGUGGAGGUCCUAUUUCCUUUGCACAUAACAUAUUGAUGAAAAUCCUGUUCAAACAUUUAAAAUUGUCAGUUCUAUUGUAGUUUAUCAAAGCAUUGAAAUUUAGGUUAUUAGUUAGCAGCUAAUGUUUUUAUUAGUAUUGUCAUUACUUUUGUGGCUAUGUAAAGAAUGAUAUUGGUAAUUCAUGGUUUCAAUUGAUUACAGAGGCAAUGCUUUUUUUUUUUCCGCGUUUCUUUCUUAGUAGUGCAAUGGAAUUUGGUAAAAAUUGGUUUUUGAUUUUGUACGUCUGACCAGUAGUGAUGACUUCAUUGCGGCAUUAAGUAAGGAGUUGAAGGAAAUCAAGGCACGUCCAUUUUGUCAUCUCAGUUUGUGCAAAGAAGUAGAUAUAAUUCCGCUGAUAUUUGAUUCUUUCCCUGACUUUGAAUUGAUAAGCUUGAAAUAUAAUGUAACUUAGACUUUCUUCUUUCCUCACAAUUCUGACAGUCUUUAUGUUGUCUAAUCGCAUGAAACAUCUUCCUUAUUUUGGGAUAUUUAGUUGCUAAAAACAAAACCUUUUUGUGGUUCUCAUAUGAAUGGUACAGUCUCGCCCGGUAGUGGGAUGGUCAUCAUUGGGAACUAUGGAGGAUUAACUAGGAAGGAUGCUAUGCUGGUUAUUUAAGGUUUUUUGCUGCCCCAGUGCUCCAGAUUUACAACCCAGUUAGAUCCCUGAUUGAGGUAGGAUUUGGUGCAGACAAGAGAUCUGAUGUUCGGCUAUAUUAUGGUGCACAGAAUUUGAAGAGAAUGGCAUACCAGGUUUUGUUUGUGUGCUUGCAAAAUGUAGACAAUUUCUGUCUUCAUGGUGACAGAAAUACAAGAUAAAUUUUGAUAGGUUUGAGAACUGGGCAUCCUCUGGGGUUAAGGUUGUGCUGGUAUUGUCUCAGCCUGAUGAUGGUUGGACAGGCGAACAUAGCUAUGUUCAGUGACCUCUUCUGCUUGGACCAGAGGGUGGAAUUCUGCAUUUGACCAGAAUAUGACGACAAUUACUAUUACUCAUGCUGCUCCCACUUCUUGCAUAGUUGCAGCCAUUAAUAUGACCAUCAUCACAACAAUGGAGGAGGAUACACAAAGUUUAUGAACUAAGCUGGCCAUGCAAUAUAUUUAGGAACUAGAUAAGCCCAUGCCCGUGCUGCGCACGGGCCCAACAUUUUAGAUUAUAAUGCAUUUAUGUGUAUGUAGUUGUUUUUGAAUAGUGAUAAUAUAUAUAUAUAUAUAUAUA